rnacentral:rRNA from 1 species
UACGUAGGGUGCAAGCGUUGUCCGGAAUUAUUGGGCGUAAAGAGCUCGUAGGCGGUUUGUUGCGUCGGCUGUGAAAACCUGAGGCUCAACCUCAGGCCUGCAGUCGAUACGAGCAGACUAGAGUGUUGCAGGGGAGACUGGAAUUCCUGGUGUAGCGGUGAAAUGCGCAGAUAUCAGGAGGAACACCGGUGGCGAAGGCGGGUCUCUGGGCAGUAACUGACGCUGAGGAGCGAAAGCGUGGGGAGCGAACAGG